CGCUUUCGGUCUAUCGACUUUCUUCCUGCGCUGCUGAUUUCGGUUCUAAGCAUGUAUUGACGAAGAACACUUUAAAGCCCUCCAUCAUGCAUGCGACCGACAACUUCGGGGAGUGAAGAUAAGGCAAGUGGACAGAGAGUUUUACAACCUGGAUCGGCUGCUUGGAUUGUCAUGGACUGACCAUCUUGAUUUGUGAAUCAGAGGAACUUUUGCUCCUGAUACUGAAGUUUUGAUACUGGCUGAUAGAAUAUGCACUUCAGAGGAAGAUUUUUACUGUAGAUGAGUGCUCAACGGGAUGAAAACACUGGAUUUUUGUGAGAAAAGUUAUAGAAAACUGUUGAGGAGAGACUGUUAGAAUGCGUGCUUCAGAGGAAGAUAUAUGAUCGCUCCACAGUUUGCUGGAUCUGCUGAAGUUUUGUGAGACAAGACAGUUAAAAGUUACAGGGAACUGAUGAGAAGAGAGAGGGAGAAUGAAACAGCUGAGAGACAGCAAGGCGAUGUGGUCUCUCACUCUCUGAUGCCAGAAUGAGAACCUACACCCGUGGGGCACCAACAGUGUUCUUCAUAAGUGCACUGUGGGUGCUGGUAUCCCCAGCUCUGGGUGAAGUGGAUCCUAGCGGAGGCAUUGCAUUCCUUGGAGGGAACUACAAUGGAACUCACCCCAUGCUCUACUUUGCCCAGGCAGAGGUUGAGAAGCUACAGCGUGCAGCCAUAGAGACGCACAAAGCUCUGGCCCAACAGAUCCGGGAGGCCGGGGAGGCCAUGCUAGAGCGACCGGAGGAGUAUCUACCCCCCUGGAACUCUGCCGAGUUCAGCGCCCGCUGGAACGAAGUCUAUGGGAACAAUUUAGGCCUGCUGUCUAUGUUCUGUCUGCUGUAUCCACACCGUGCCGGUGCGCUGGACAUGGCCAAGGAAUACAUGGAGCGGAUGGCUGCACAGCCCAACUGGUUGGUGAAAGAUGCUCCCUGGGAUGAAGUUCCAAUGGCUCACUCUCUGGUUGGCUUUGCCACAGCAUAUGACUUCCUGUAUGAGUACCUUAGCAAAGUUCAGCAGGAGCGUUUCCUGCAGGUGAUUGGGAAUGCUUCACGCUACAUGUACGAGAAAUCUUACCACCGUGGCUGGGGAUUUCAGUACCUCCACAACCACCAACCAACUAACUGCGUUGCGCUUUUAACCGGCAGUCUUGUGCUCAUGAACCAAGGAUAUCUCCAGGAAGCAUACCUCUGGACAAAACAGGCUCUUGCAAUAAUGGAAAAGUCCAUGGUGCUUCUCCAAGACGUGACAGAUGGAUCUCUGUAUGAGGGUGUGGCCUAUGGAACUUACACCACUCGUUCACUCUUUCAAUACAUGUAUUUGGUACAGAGGCACUUUGCUAUUGGUCACUUCAACCAUCCCUGGCUGCACAAACACUUUGCAUUUCUCUACAGGACAUUGUUACCUGGUUUUCAAAGGACCGUGGCAAUCGCAGAUUCCAACUAUAACUGGUUCUAUGGGCCAGAGAGUCAGCUAGUGUUUUUGGAUCGGUAUGUCAUGCGAAACGGCAGCGGGAAUUGGCUGGCUGAUAUAAUCAGGCAGAACCGUGUUCUCGAGGGUCCAGGACAGGCAGGGAAGGGUCAGCGAUGGUGCACACUGCACACAGAGUUCCUCUGGUAUGAUGCCAGCCUGCAGCCCACCCCACCUCCUGAUUAUGGUACAUCGCGGCUGCAUUAUUUCGAAGACUGGGGAGUAGUGACCUACGGAAGUGCCCUACCUGCAGGGAGAAACUACACAUUUCUGUCCUUUAAGUCGGGUAAGCUUGGCGGACGUGCAAUUUUUGAUAUUGUACACCAAAACAAAUACAAAGACUGGAUCAAAGGGUGGCGUAACUUUAAUGCCGGCCAUGAGCACCCGGACCAGAACUCUUUCACAUUCGCUCCAAACGGCGUUCCAUUCAUCACAGAGGCAUUGUAUGGACCCAAAUACACCUCCUUCAACAAUGCAGUCAUGUUCGGGCCUGCAGUGUCUGAGAGCUGCUUUGCACCGUGGGAAGGCCAAGUUACGGAGGCGUGUAACUCUAAAUGGCUAAACUAUAAGCACGGGCAAGCAGCAGAUUGCCAAGGUCAGGUGGAGGCCGCUCUUGAUCGUCAGGGCAUGGUGUUUAUUCGUGGCGAGGGCCAAGCAGCUUACAACCCAGAGCUGAAGAUCAAGAAUUUUCAGAGGAACCUCCUGCUUCUUCAUCCUCAGCUGCUGCUGAUGGUAGACCACAUUCAGCUCCAUUCAGGCAGCCUAACACGCAGCAUGAGCAGCUUCUUCCACAACACAGACCUGCCCUUCAAGAACACCCAGGUUGAUGGUGUGCAUGGUGCUCUGAUCAAACACGGAGAUGAAUUGUACAAGAUGUUCUGGCUGGAUGAAACGGGUGGCAGUGAAAGGGCAAUAGCAGGCUAUAGGAGCUACCCCCGUGGAUACCCCUACAAUGGGUCAAACUAUGUGAAUGUGACUAUGCCAUUGAGGUAUCCUACCAGCAGAGUGGCUUACAUCUUCUUUGGGCCAGGAGUUGAUGUGCAGAGUUUCAGUGUACAUGGCGACUCAGAAAGACUAGACAUUUAUCUGGCCACCAGAGAACACACCUACACCAUCUAUCUGUUUACAGGUGGGGUUCCCACUAAACGUUUGUAUGCGAUGGUGUUGAUGAAUCAAAAGAAAGUGGUGUUUGAAAGAGCAUCAGGGAUAGAGGAGCACCCCUUGGAAGAAGUAGAGAAAUAUGUUCAUGUCGUGGAAGACAAUCUUCAGCAUGUCAAACCAGUCUUCCAGCAGUUAGAAAGACACAUCCUGUCACAUGUUCUUAACACAGAUAGCUUUCACAAAACUGCUGAGCGCCUCCUGAAGUCUUCAGACAAGAGGAAGGCACCAGGGACAGUUGAGAAGAUGUUUGCCCUCUCUAAAAAGCAGGGAAAGGGUGGCAAGAAGGCAAGCCUCUCUGACAACCUACCAGACAUCUUUGCCCAGAUUGAGGCGAAUGAGAACAAAGAGAGGCAGCGGACAAUGAAACGCAUCUAUGAGGAGGUUCCAGAGGAGGCAGAUGGUGACUCGAGGGCAUUCAUUGAGUACAGUGAUGUACGAAAGGGUAGAAAAGUGGGAUUUGUGAAGGGGCGGAAAUUCAAAGAAGUGCGCUUAGUGGGUACUACAGGGAGUGACGAUAUGUCCGGCUCCACCUCGUAUAUCCGCCUCUUCCUCAUUUUGAAUAUAACCACUUUCUUCCUCCUGCUGGCAGUGCUGUUGACGCGUUUCCAGAGGGCCCAGAGUUUGCACACACAGCGUUGCCUCUACUGUGUCCUCCUUAUAGAUAGCUUCAUCCUGCUCUGUCUGUACUCCUGCUCACAGACACAGUGUUGACAUCGUCACUGUAGGACAUUCAGCCGGUAUUUCGGCACAGGUGUUGUCAUCAACACUGUGGAAGAUUAGGCUAUUCCUGUUUGCAGGCACGGUGCAUCCUCAGUAUGAGGCAUCAUUAAAGAAAUAGCUAACCCCAAAAAUAUAAUUAUUUACUCACCUUCAUGUUUUCCACACAUUUAUACUGUUAUUUUUUUUCAGUGGAAUACAAAAGAAGAUUUUUUAAAGAAUCUUAACAUAGCUCUAUUCCAUACACUUAUACACUUACAGUUCAUAAUGACCAUGUCGGUCAAGCUCUAAAAAUGACAAUCAUAUCAUAACAGUAGUCCAUACAACUUCCUCUCCACCAUAGCCCUCAAAUCAAAUAUGGCACAUGAAUUAGACAUGAAUGACUUCAAACAUAAUACAGGACAAUAGAUGCCUACUGUUCCUUAUUUUAGCAGUGAAAAUGGUGGAAAGUCCUGCAUUGAAUGCCUUGUGUCCCAUAUAGAAAUGUAAAAAUGUUCAAGCAUCCUGUAUUCACAUGGCAAAAAGUUGGCAACCCAAAAUGUAAUGUAUAAUUCAUGGUGUCAUGAAAUGCCCCCCCUUGGAGCACAGAUGUGGACCCUAUUGUCACUAUAUGGAAAAGAGCUGCUUAACAAUUUUGAAUGACAUGUUACAGACUUUUUUCCUGCUCACAAGCACAGUGCUUACAUCAUCACUGUGUGACAGUUAGAUGGAAUUAUAUGCCUUCUCCACAAUGCAGCGUUGCUGCAGUUUAUCCAAUAUGCCUCAUACUGAGCCAGUGUUAGCAAACAGGUGUCUGAGAAAAGCUGAUUCCAAAUAGGAAUCGCAAGAUAUUUUUAUUUUAAUGCAAAAUUAGCCAACCCACCUCAAAUCAAAAGCUUCUGUGGAGCUUUAUUAUAAAGUUUACAUGAAUGUUGUCUUCUGGGACUCUCCAUGGCUAGCCACUAUUAUCCAUAUACACUGCAAGCUAUGCACAUUUGGUAUCAACAUGGACUUUCAUCACAAAAUAUGUGUAAAAUGUAUAUAUGUUCAAUCAAAGUAGAUUUUUGGGUGUUGUUUUAUACUCUUGCUAAUUUAAAAGGCAACCACAAAAAUGUCCUGUUGCAUUGUUUAGCAUUUAUCUGUCAUGAAAUUGUAUCAGUACAAGACUAAUAAAACAUUUCAGCUGCAGACACCGACAAUUUAGAAUGACAUAUAGUGACAGACACAGAUCUUACCACAAUACGUGUAAUGUGUUUUCCAUGAUCAUGGAAAACCUUGAGGUCUGGGAAAUUAAAAUUGUGAUUUCCAGGCCUGGAAAUGUGCUAAAUCUUUAAAAUUCAUGGAAAAGCCAUAUGGUCAGUUAUGUAAAAUUAUAUCAAAUUUAUAUUCGAUAAUCACAAAUGCAAAAAGUCUUGGAAAUGAAUUGGUCAAAAGGUGUGGGAACCCAGGUGUGCCAUCACUAUGAAUGUUCUUAGAAACAUGAAAGGUCAGUAUGAAAAUGUAUAGGUGCAAUCAGUAAAUUAUUUAAGUAUGGCAAGUAUGGCCAGUUAGUGGCCUGGAUGCUGCAUCAUUCAAAAACAGUAGUUUUCAGUUAUAGAUGCCAUUGUAGAAAUUCACUAUGCAUGGUAAAACAGGAUUCAUUUAAUCCAUGAGUGAAAGUGUUCAAUAACAUGGCAGUUUCUGAGAUUAAGAGUAGUAUUCAGCUGGUAACAUGGCUGCCCCAAUGAGGCGCCCCUGCUCCAUGUAGAAUAAAAUGUUUUUAUACAUAUGUUAUAAAAUUACAAUUCAACUGAAUUACUGAGUGCACAUUUAACAGGUUCAAGGGUAUUCCUGCCAUUUAAAAUAACCUCCGUUAAAACAAUAAAAUCUCUUCAGAAAUAAAUGCCAAAUCAAAUUGUUCUGAAGUAAAAUAUCGAUUUGGACUGUCAUUUGUUUGUCUGACUCUGCAGUGAGUCUUACAUGAGAGUUAGUAAGCUUACAGUUACAGUACAUACAGUUAGUAGAAAUAUUAAAUGAAACAAACUGGUUACAUCCUUGCUAUUUUGUUAUUCACUUCAAUUGAUAUCACACUACACAAUGUAUUUCAACGUAGCAUAAUUGGUGGUUAAAAUAAUAUUUUGUAAGAUGAUGAUUUUCCUUCCCAAAUACAGUAGGCAGUAGUGGUCAUCUCAUUUAAAAAAUAUAAACAAAGCACAUAAUUAAAGGGGUAAGAAAACAGGAACCUUAUAACAAUUUCAAGGAUGUAAACGUUGAGGCCAUAGCAGAUGUUCCAGAGGUAGGCUACAUUUUCAGUUGAUUUGUUCAUUGUAUUUCAAACUGUUUUUAAGUGUUUAAGCUUAAAGAACCAAUUUCAAAUGAUUUUAAUAAAUAAAAAUUAAUUGUGCGAAAAGUUGACCUCUCAGUUGAUAUAUAUUUAAGCAAACUGACAUUUCACAACUAGUACUCAGUUCCUAUUUUCAUAGUGUGUGUGUGUGUGUGUGUGUGUGUGUGUGUGUGUGUGUGUGUGUGUGUGUGUGUGUGUGUGUGUGUGUGUGUGUGUGUGUGUGUCAGUAAUGGAAAUCAUGUGGAAUGGGUUUCCUGUUGUUCUUCUCUGAAUGUCCGAGGUCAAAAUUUGAACAUCACUCCUCUAUUCUAGAAUAUGUUGAUCUCAUUGGAUAAGGUAGUUAAUAUACUGCUUUUUCUGUUCUUGCAAAGAUAUAUAAUGCUGUGCUGAACAAUAAAGUACGAGAAAUCUCCGAUGCAUACUUAAGUGUCUGUGUCAGUCAUUUCUCCCCUUGAGGAUCUGGAUCAAGACAGCGACUGCAGACCUGAUCUGGUAUUUAUGGGCAAAUCCUGAAUAUUUCUAACAGCCUUGGUGUCAGCAAGUGGGAUAUUUUAAAUUUAAAAAUUUUAAAAACUCCUGUCUGUCGAAAUAUUAAGCAUAACAUUUGCUAGAGCCUUAUUUUGAAAGAUAAAUAAGGAGGUUUUACACCUUAAAUUUGCGACUAUAGUCUGGGUAACCCUAUUUUGAAAUAUAAAUAGGAAAGAGAGCUCAAUCUCAAAGUCAAAUUUCUCUGGGUGUCAAAAAUAAAUAAAUAGUAGGUAUUGGUCUGCUGUCCUGUUCUCCAUCCAGAUAGCAUUUUUCUUUACUAACUUGCUUCAUUCCUCUUGACUAACUAUAUACCUGAAUAUUCAAACUGUGGUGACAUUAUGAGACAUGAGAUAAGCCGUCCUUUACCGGAGGAAACGAUGGAUGUUUCGUAAUAAUCAAGGUUAUAAUUCUGAGCUGUAUAUCAGUAAUUUGGCUGGGUGGUCAGAGGGAAAAACACAAUUAGAUCCGUACACAAGAGAUGGCUCAUUUGACAAUUGAUAUAUGAGUGAGGUCAAAUUGAUAGUUAAAAGUGGGUAAGGAGAUCCGCAAUGGGAUUACAAAUAUAUGAAGGAAUCGUAUGACGUAUGGAAGAAGAUGAAACCUUUUUGGGACAAAGGUCUUGAGUGCAACGCCACUGCAGGUCAAUGCGUGGAACCUCCAUAAUAUGACAACGUCGUUAAAACCACAGCCGUACCUGAAUUUACUGAUAUGAGAAUUCCACUGCCUUGGGUGCUCCGUUGUAUCCGGAUCUAACAAAAUCUGAGAAAUAAUAGUGCAUGAGAAAACUGCAUGCUGUUACAUGCCCGCUAAAGUCUAUGUUGCCACACCCUCAGCUCAGCUGGGGUUUGAGGAGGGCACUUCGGCAUCGGUUGCUUUUCAUUUUAUUCAGUGUCCAGAUGGGUAUAAAAUUAUCCCUGACUGUGGCGGAAGCACUGGCCAUUUCUAAGGAAUUGCCAGUACAAUAUGUGAACAUCUUAAAGAAACUUUAAACUGCGUAUAGCUAGUUAACGGGACAUAAAUAUCAUUUCAUUCUGUCAAAAACCCUACCAGCUGACGUAAUUGAAAAGGAUUUGCUCAAUGAAGAUCCCAUGCUGAAAUUAUAAUACACCCACCCAACGGACGUCGAAGGUGCCGCACUUAGAGACGGAAAAGAGACUAAAGCCCCAACUAUGACUUUGGCUCACGUGAGUGAGGAUGCAUGACCGUAUUUACAAAACAUCUACUACAAGUCUUAAAAGACUUAGCAGCCUCAAGGAGAGAUAUUACUCAUGCGGCUUAAAUGAAACAAAUGAAAAGGGAAAGCCCGGUAGCUUUCGUCUCCCGUUUCAAAGCAUCAUGGACUGAUGAAUCAUCCUUGUCAACAGAUGACUAUCAGUCGAUUUUGUUUAUCAAUAUGUUUCUUAAAAGCAUGGAUCCAGAAACCGCCAGAUUGAUUCUGAUCAUGACCUCAAAUCUGACCGCAAUGACCACUGAUCAGUUAGGGAAGCGACUAUGCGAAUUGCCCUCCGCGGGUGCUUUUUUUUCUAAACCAACCCCAGUAAUGGCACCAGUAAAGUUGUACAAGGUAUAAAUUACAGAAAUUGCCAUUAGUGUGGCCAACUUGGACACUUUAAGUGUGAAUGUCGAAAGAAGCAAUAAGAUUUACAACAGUGUAAAAGCUGGCACAGUUGCUGACAGGAUGACCGUGUAAAUCGUAAUGACAACCGAAAUGCUCUGCGUAAUAGACGCUCAGAGUGCUCUGUGCUUGAUAACCCCACAGAGUGGACCCUGCGCUAGGGAUGCCCGCAGAGUACAGAGCCCUCAUGAUAUAUUCUACCUUCUGUUUUGUGUUUUGACAUUUCUACCUUGCUCUUUCUUGAGCUGUAUGUUGAUCGUAAACCCUAUACUUUCUUGGUAGAUACUGGUGCUUCUAAAAGUUCCCUGGUGGGGCAUUGUUAUGAGGGCUUGAUUACGGGACGCACCAUAAACUCUGUGGGAAUUAUCGGCGUCCCUGUAAAAUGUCAAAUGACACCAAAAUAGCCUGUUACCUCCCCAGACAACCCAACUCUGUUCAAAAUGCAUGAUUUUGUCAUUCUACCUGUCUCUCCAUUCUGCUUACUGGGGCUGAUAUACAAAACUGGUGCCAAGAUAGCAUGCAAGUCUUAGUCUAAGGAGUCCAACUCCUUGCAACUUUUAUUUCCUUCAGUGUAUUUUCAGUCUGUGUGUACAGGAGCUUGUGGUGAAGUGCUCAGCUCAACGUCUGUGAGGUCUUCUGAUGUGAAACAGGAACUACUCAAUGUCAAUCCAGCAUUGUGGGCUGCCCACAAAGAUGAGGCUGGCCUAAUUGAUGUUAGGCAAUUUGUGGCUAAACUUCGGUCAUACCAGUAACAUACCAGUGUACUGCAAACAGUACCCACUCUCAAAAGGAAAGGAAGAAGGUAUUGGUCCAAUAAUACAACGGUUGCCGUCACAAUAUUGGAACCAACCCAUUGACGACAUAACACACAGAUCAAUCCUUUCAAAAAGGCUAAUGUGUGCCAUCCUUGCCUGUCACGCAGCCCCUGUUUACGUUCAAGUACGGAGGCAACAAUACACGUGGACAAGAAUGCCCCAGGGAUUUAAAGACUCACCUGCUGUGUUCUCUGCUGUAGUGGAUGCUACUUUGAAAGACACCAAGCUGCCACCACAGACAUUUCUGCUGCAAAACGCUGAUGUGGACGCUGAAUCAUGCACUGCUGCCUCAACGAUUGUUUGCAAUAUACUAGUGCAGGCUGGUUUCAAGGCAUCAAAAGACAAGCUGCAAUGGGUGAAAUCGAGAUUUGACUAUCUGUGUCAUGAGCUGAAGAAAGGAAGCGUUUGUCUCUCCCACAGAUAGAGCACAGAUAACCAACAAUAACCACCUUUCAGCAUCCGACAACAAAGACCCAAAUGCAGAGUUUUCUGGGCUUAGUUAAUUAUUGUUGAGCCUGGGUCCCGAACUGCUCAUUGAAUGUCAAAAUAUUGAGAGAGGCCACACUCUCAGGGGCCGAAGAGCCCAUAAAUUGGACAUGGAUUUCAAGCACUUGCGUAACAGUCUAAGUUUCCCACCAGCUGUAGGUCUGCCAAACUAUGGUGAACCUUUCCAUCUGUACGUGCAUGAGGCUGGAGACACAACAGCAGCGAUCCUUGCCCAGUCCCAUGGUGGAACAUAUAGACUGGUGGCGUACUUGUCGAUGACAUUAGAUGCAGUCACCAAAGGCCUCCCUGCGUGUCUGUGGGCUGUUGCUGCUGCGGCAUUGAUGGUACAAGAUGCAGGAUGCAUGGUUCUUUCACACCCUAUGACUGCAUAUCUCGCAUCAGUCACCUGGUGUGGUGGAGAGAACUAUCCAGAGAACUUCUGCACAAGGCCUGUACUGAAACCGGAUGAACAUGGGUUGAUGUAUUGCCUACUGUGUUGACUGAGCUCAGAAUGUCACCAUCUUCUGUCGUUAAGCUCUCUCCAUUUGAAAUACUAAUGGGUAGGCCUUUCCCGACCCCAUGGGUCAAAGGCCGUGCUGGCUCUCUCUCCACUGGUAACACAGAGGUGGUGAUUGCAGUAUAUGUGGAUUCCCUCAUUAAGACAUUAAUUGGCAUAAAUGGUCUCUCUCUCACUCUGCCUGCAGAAUGCCCUUCUUACCAUUUGUUCCAGGUCAACAGGUCCUGAUCAGGUGUCUAAAACCUACUAAGUUUUGGGAGCCAAAGUAUCUGGGCCCAGCUGCUGUCCUGGAAUUGACCAGAACUGGAGUGCUAACGGAUCUGCAACCACAGUGGAUACACGUAAGCCGGGUGAAACCUGCACCUGAGGAGAGUCCGUCUAUUUCGAAAGUGAGCGGUGAAAGAACUGGAGGAGCUGAACAUGCAGUGCCAGUGCCUAACCGAGAACUUGAGAAUUAUGAGGACCAGAGGAGGGAAGAAAAACUUGGAUGCACAGAGUAAUAGUGCUUAUCUUUCUUCUGCAAGCAGCUGCUUCCGCUAAUGCUUUGCCAUGGAUGUCAGAUUCCAGCUCGGUUGUUCAACCACUUGUGAAGGCCGUCAUUCCACUCCCUAAGAAUAACCUGUGGUGGUUGCUGAUUAACUAUACAGCGGAUGGGUAAUGAUGCAUUUCUUGAUUUAGGUCCCCCGCAGCAAUCCCAUACGUAAUCCCUCUGCCAAUCAAUACCACCACUUGUAGAAAGCAUGAAAUAAAAUGUAUGAAUCUUAGGCCAGAUUGUCAAUGUUGUACUUAUAUCAAUACUUCAAGUGGACAAUCGAUGAAGCGUUGGCAAGACAAACCACAGAUGAACAAUGGACCACUACGCCCUUGGAAAUGUCUUCUCUAUCAGUCCAGUAUCUCAUAUGAUGAUAAUUUCACUUUGAGCAAGUGGAACUGCACGAACUGGCUGGUUCCUGGUAAAGCUCUACCGGAGGAAGUUUCUUGCCGAAAAUGUAAUAAAACAGAAAAUUAUUACUUUACAAACUACAGUAACAACCUAGUGAAUGUAACCGAAUUCCACAAUAAAUUCUGUUCUAAGGUGACCUAUACAUAUUUGUAUAAAGGGACCGGGGUUUUCUGCAUUUGGUGUUCCGCAAUAUGAGGGGUUAGAAUAUCUGGUGGAUCUGUUCUGAUAGCCCAUCAUGGUUAUUUAACAGUCUAUUUUUUAUGGUCUUGUUAGAACAUUUUAUUAUAAGACCCCAGUGCACAGUUCGGAAGCGAAGAUACUUGGAUGAUGAUGAUGCAGCUAUUGAUCCUGAAGUUUAUCUAGAUAACAUUGGAUAGCCAAGAGGUAUUCCUGACAAAUUCAAUGCUAGACAUGAGUUUGCCUCUGGGUUUGAGUCUGUUUUUAUAUGGGUAACCCCAAAUAGGAAUUUAGAGUGGAUUAAUUAUCUAUAUUACAAUCGACAGCGUUAUUUCAAUAAGACAAACAAAGCCUUCGAAUUGGUCAGGGGAUGAUUGCAAUUGUGAGAUAACUAAACAGAAUAGAAUAGCACUAGAUUAUCUCUUGGCUAAGGAAGGAGGGGUGUGUAAAAUGUUUGGUGACAAAUGCUUUACUUAUAUUCCUGGGCAUGCUGCUGAUGAUGGGGAGUUUACCACGGUCCUGAAGGAAAUGGAUAAGUUGAAUAAAGACUUUACCACAAUCGCCGGCUUCAAAGGCAUAUGGGGAAAUAUUUUUUAAAUGUUUGGUUGGUUUGUCUUGGAUGUCUACUAUUAUUCCAAUAAUUGUAUGCAUUUUUAUAUUGUUAUUAUUUGGCCCAUGUUUGUUACAAUGUAUUUAUUCAAAGGGUCACUGCUUUGUUAAACAGACAUAAUAUUGCUAUGCUUCAUACAACUGAGAUUCUGAGUGAUCCUUUCAGGAUCAAAGUGGGCAUUGUGAGAAAAGUUGACCUCUAAACGAAACUCUUAAUUACUCUCUCCAUCACCCCUCCUCGUGAGUCUCCCAAAAAUGCUAAAUAAUUGCACCCAAAAUGUCCUAACUCCCAUCCUACUGCUCGACCCCCCCUCGAAGGCAUACACCCUCAUCAACUCCGGACACCACUCCUGGAACGAGGGAGCUCCAUCUGACUUCUAUCCCCUUAAAAUAACCUGCCUACCAAUCAUCACACUGGUCAAAACCCAAUUUUUUAUGUACUUAUCCUGUCCCAAACUACAGAGUCUGGGGCAGAACAAUAUUUGAGUCUCCAACCCCUCAUAUACAAAACAUUGCACCUUCAACCUAAAUUCUUGGAUCUUACGACACCCCCAAAAAAUAUGGGUGGUGUCUCCAUCUUCUGAAUGGCAUCGCCAGCAGGUGGGUGUUCCCUUAAGACCAAGCUUGAUGCAGACUUGUUGUUCUUUAGAAUCCUAGCCCACACUCCCUCCUCCAAUAACACAUUUAAAUCUUCCUCAAAUAAUCUUUUGAGAGAAUUUAAAGCUCCGUCCCCCAGACUCUGAAUUAGCAGGGAGUAAUACACUGAUGCCUCAUGACCUUUCCCAAAAGCAGCAAUCACCACUCCCAGAGUAUCUGCCACACUAGGGGGGGUGCGUGCCACUCCAAAAACAGAGUAAAGUAGGUAGCGCAGCUGUAAAUACUUAUAAAAUUGAGAUCUGGGAAUCCUAAAAUGAUGAACCAACUUUUCAAAAGAUCUCAAUACUCCACUCUCAUAUAGGUCACAGAGUGUAUUAACCCCCCAUCACAAUCCAAUCUGAGCAACAGAAAGGGGACUUAUUAAUACAUAGUUUAGGGUUCACUAAACUAUAUGCACUAAACUAUAUGUUCAGCCAUAUGCUCAAGGCUACGUUUAAAUAAAUAUCCAAGUUAAACACUUUUUGUUCAUAUCAAGUGUGAAUGCAAGAUAACGAGGUGUGACUUAACUUCUCCGAUUAGUUUGAUCGAAAGGCUUUGCAGUGGCAAGAUAGGGUCAAGAAAUUCCUUUUCAAUACAAAACCAGGGAGGGGCUCUCUCAGGUGGAAGCGACAAAUGAGCCAAAUGUCUGAGACCGAAUGCAUAGUAAUAAAACAAAUUCUUGGGUAGGCCUAACCCACCUUUGUCAAUCAGCCAAUGUAACAUAUUAAAAUUUAACAUGGGAUGCUUAACAUUCCAAAAUAAGGACUUCGCUAUGCUAUCAAAUUGCUUAAAAUAAGAGAGGGGUACAUCUAUAGAGAGAGAUUGUAACAGGUAUUGGAAUUUUGGAAUACAAUUAAUUUUAAUUACAUUAAACUUCCCAAUCAUAGAUAAAUGUAAUGAAGCCCACCUGUCCACAUCGAUCAAAAUUAACAAAUUUGCUGGUGUUACAUUCCAUGUAAUAAGUGUGACUUUUGUUUUGGAGUGUUGUGUUUUUCUUCUCUCUCACUCUGUCUCUUGCUCUUUACUUUCGUUUUCAGCAGGUUGACGUAUUUAAUUGGUUCGUUCAUCUGUCAAUCUUGGAGACGCAUGUUGACGACAUUGCGCGUCUCCACCAAUGAGGGCGAGCUAUGCGAGUAUAAAAAAGGGCCUGCGUGGGAAGCGGGAUCUCUUUUCUUUAUUUGAUUCAUACAUGUGCACCUGUUGUAGUGGUUUGCCCUGUAUCAUCCAUGUCCCCAGGUAAUGUUUAUGUCCCCAGGUAAAGUCUGUGUUCUGUAACCCGGUCACACACACACAAGAUGAGACAGUCACAAUGUGGAUGAAACUGCUUUUAAUGUUUAUUAAAAGCAGUGCAGGCAAAAGUACAAAACAAGGGAAAUCCAGUGAGAGUAGUCGAGGGGGAGCGUAAGGUCGGAAGCCGGGGAAACAACGAUAUAAACAAGGGGGCAGAUCUAAUGAGGGAGGUGAACGAUAAGCGGGGAAAACAGUUAACAACUAGGGCGAAGGACAAGACGAGACUAGCGGGAACAAAGACAGGGGAACGAGAGAGUUGGCAAGCUAAGAGGAUAAUCAAGAGGAGGGAGGUCGAAACUAGACGAAACUAGCAGGGGCAAAACUAGACGAGACUAGCGGGGGCAUAAACACGGGAAUCUAAAUACAUACAAUACAUACAAUAACCAACGGGAAACAAACGGAAGGAUAGUGUAUUUAUAGGGGCGAGUGCAGGUGUAAACAAUGACAGGUGACGAGACGAGUGCAGGUGUAACUAAUGUGUGGGGAUAGGAAGCGCGUGAGUGUAAGUGGUCAUAAUGUUCUGGCAGAUGAGCGGGAAGAGAGCACGCUCGCGGAGUGCAUGUGUGUCAGAGGGGGGAGAGAGUUUACGAGCGAGAGCUCGUAAUAGCAAACCGGGCGUGAAAGCCUGAGGGAGGAAAAAGAGCGUACGAGCUCAAGGGGGCGGAGCGAGGGAGCGGGAAGCGAGCACGCUCGGAGUGUAUGGGUGCGUGCUCGAGGAAGCGGA